rnacentral:rRNA from 1 species
UACGGAGGGUGCAAGCGUUAUCCGGAUUCACUGGGUUUAAAGGGUGCGUAGGCGGGCAGGUAAGUCAGUGGUGAAAUCCUAGAGCUCAACUCGGGAACUGCGCUUGAUACUGUCGAGCUAGAGUGUGGAAGGGGCGAUUGGAAUUCCGUGUGUAGCGGUGAAAUGCGUAGAUAUACGGAGGAACACCAGAGGCGAAGGCGGAUCGCUGGGCCAACACUGACGCUGAGACGCGAAAGCUAGGGUAGCAAAC